rnacentral:lncRNA from 1 species
CUGUUUUCGAAAAAGAUGCCUGCAUGCUGCAAACGUGCCAUCUGCAUCGGUCGCAUCGGCAUCGCCAGCGCCCGCGCCGACAAUGCGCGCUCGCAACGGUUCAUCAAGACGCGCUAGCAUCACGUGUUGAACAAGAGGCGACGCCUCGGUGCCCAAACGGUGUCUGGCGACGGCGGCGCACAGGCGCUCGGUGGCCUCGGGACCCAUUUCCGCAAUAAGCGCUCCAGAGUCGCGCGGCGCAAAGCGGCAGCGGACCGCGAUACCGUGCGCGUCGGGAUACGUCGUUAUCGCGUAGGACGUGGGGUCCGGCGCGGCCAGAUCCACCCAGCGACGCAGACGGGCCGCUGCCGCCGGCACGCCGAUCGCGUCGGCCGCCGCCUGAAUGGCGUCCAGGCGAUCGACGCACGGGCAGAGCGAGGACGAGAUGAGCGCGUUGGUAUCGAGCGCACCACACGACCCAAAGUCGGCACCGUCGAUGGUCACAUAGGCAUACACGGGCACGAGGCUGGCGCGGUCCACCGGGAGGACGACCUCGCGGUAAUCGGCGUGGUCGUCUGCUUUGCUGUCGACGUCGGUUUCGCCUAGCAGGUGUGACUCGCUGAAGCGGGCCGCAAAGCGCCCUUGGGGCGACACAUCGAGCAUCAUCGCGGCGCCGUCGGUAGUGACCAAGGCGACCAGCGCGCGUCCGGGCAGGCCCGCCUCACGCCGUUGGCGCUUGCGGGCAGGCAUCUCUGGCGUCAGGUCGCCUUCAGAGACCCACCUCUUGGAUGUCGCCAUCGCACAGGCGCGCCUACCGAGAUGCCUUUGUCUGUCGCCGCCGCUUCGUUGUCCUUUGUCCAGUGUGAUGUCGCCGGUGCGCCGAGAUAGGGCUACGGAGGCGUGGGCGCCCGCGGAUGCAUUGUUCUGCAUCGUCUGUCGCUGUUGGGGUCGCCGCGACCGCCGCAAGAGCCAAUGUGCUUCUCCUUUGUUCCUCUUUUCUUCUCUUUUACAGGCCACGCGAGUGGCGCGUGAGAUUCUCUCUCUCUCUCUCUCUCUCU